rnacentral:rRNA from 1 species
UGGGGAAUAUUGGACAAUGGGCGCAAGCCUGAUCCAGCCAUGCCGCGUGUGUGAAGAAGGCUCUAGGGUUGUAAAGCACUUUCAGUAGGGAGGAAAAGCUGGUAGUUAAUAACUGCCAGCCCUGACGUUACCUACAGAAGAAGCACCGGCAAACUCCGUGCCAGCAGCCGCGGUAAUACGGAGGGUGCAAGCGUUAAUCGGAAUUACUGGGCGUAAAGCGCGCGUAGGUGGCUUAUUAAGCAGGGUGUGAAAUCCCCGGGCUCAACCUGGGAACUGCAUUCUGAACUGGUAAGCUAGAGUAUAGUAGAGGGUGGCGGAAUUUCUGGUGUAGCAGUGAAAUGCGUAGAUAUCAGAAGGAACAUCAGUGGCGAAGGCGGCCACCUGGACUAAUACUGACACUGAGGUGCGAAAGCGUGGGUAGCGAACAGGAUUAGAUACCCUGGUAGUCCACGCCGUAAACGAUGUCAACUAGCCGUUGGGGGGAUUUCCCUUUAGUGGCGCAGCUAACGCGAUAAGUUGACCGCCUGGGGAGUACGGCCGCAAGGCUAAAACUCAAAUGAAUUGACGGGGGCCCGCACAAGCGGUGGAGCAUGUGGUUUAAUUCGAUGCAACGCGAAGAACCUUACCAAGACUUGACAUCCUGCGAACUUUCUAGAAAUAGAUUGGUGCCUUCGGGAACGCAGUGACAGGUGCUGCAUGGCUGUCGUCAGCUCGUG